UCCAAGGUGCGGUUCGAUGGUUUGAUUCGAGUUGAAUUUGCUGUUUCGAACCGCAUUCGUAGUUGCUGAAAUUUAAUCGAAAAGUUUCGUGCAAUAAGGUUCAAUCCUUUACUCGUUUUAAUGUUAAUUAUUUGUUUGGUGAUCCGAUUUUGGGAUUUGUUAUCUGCGGCUUUGAAUAUGUCCAUACGAGCAUUCUUAGGCCGGUAACAUUUGGUUAGGAAAGCCAUAGGAAUUUAUUAGUUUUGAGUCAAGAGAUUGUUCCUUUAGCUGAAUAUAUCCAGG
rnacentral:lncRNA from 1 species